rnacentral:lncRNA from 1 species
GUAUUUUAUGGGAACAUAUAAGCAUGAUAGGGAUAUGGGAAAUAUUCUACUUCUUUACUUGGGCAAAACCAUGACCUAUAUGAUCUGUGCUGGGAUUUGUGCAAUAAUAAUUAUGUCUUGGAAGCUGCACACCUUCUGCAUAUGUGCCUAGGGCUGGAUUAUGAAUUGACUAAAUACACGAAGCUGCACACCUUCUGCAUAUGUGCUAGGGCUUGAACUGCAACUUGAAUUAUGUUACUUGGGAACUGUAGUUAUGCUAACUCUCUCACAAUCAUCACAAGCAUGAGCACCAAACACACACACACUUAACAUGUUCAUAACAGAGUAUUGCACAUGUCACCAGAGGGGGGAGUAGGGUGUAUACCCGUAGUCCCCAAUUUUCAAAUUCAAAAUUGCUUCUCAGCAAGACUAGGGCAAACCAGAGGAAUUACGCUCCACCAGAGCAGAGGGGUCAGCACUCAACCAGAACAGAGAGGUCCUGACAAUCGUAAGCCGCGAAAGUUGGUUGUGCCACCCGGGCCCUCCAUGCUCCGCGCAGAGGUUCCUGACAAUCGUAAGCCGCG